CCCAGUGUGGUGUAGUGGUUUGAGUGUUGGAUUAUGAAUCUGGAGACCAGGGUUCAAAUUCCGGCUCAGCCA